UACGAAGGGGGCUAGCGUUGCUCGGAAUCACUGGGCGUAAAGGGUGCGUAGGCGGGUCUUUUAAGUCAGGGGUGAAAUCCUGGAGCUCAACUCCAGAACUGCCUUUGAUACUGAAGAUCUUGAGUUCGGGAGAGGUGAGUGGAACUGCGAGUGUAGAGGUGAAAUUCGUAGAUAUUCGCAAGAACACCAGUGGCGAAGGCGGCUCACUGGCCCGAUACUGACGCUGAGGCACGAAGGCCAGGGGAGCAAACGGG
rnacentral:rRNA from 1 species